GUAAACAAUAGCUCAGUCGGUAGAGCACGAGACUCAUAAUCUCAGGGUUAUGGGUUUGAGCCCCCCAUUGGGCAAACCA
rnacentral:tRNA from 1 species